rnacentral:sRNA from 1 species
AAAGUUAUUUCAAAAAUCUUUUGUCAAAGAGUAAAGACGGUUUUGUUAAAUCUUAUUUCGGAAAUACAAUAUGCUUUUGUGGAAGGACGGCUAAUCUCGAAUAAUACUAUUAUCGCACAAGAGAAUGUUUUAU